UACGGAGGGGGCUAGCGUUGUUCGGAAUUACUGGGCGUAAAGCGCACGUAGGCGGCUUUGUAAGUUAGAGGUGAAAGCCCGGAGCUCAACUCCGGAACUGCCUUUAAGACUGCAUCGCUAGAAUUGUGGAGAGGUAAGUGGAAUUCCGAGUGUAGAGGUGAAAUUCGUAGAUAUUCGGAAGAACACCAGUGGCGAAGGCGACUUACUGGACACAUAUUGACGCUGGGGUGCGAAAGCGUGGGGAGCAAACAGG
rnacentral:rRNA from 1 species